rnacentral:lncRNA from 1 species
AGGGAACCACGAUGUGCCACAAGUUCAUCACCAACACAGCGGCUCCUCAAAGAAGAAACAUCCUUCUUCCUGUAGAAAUCAAGUAGACAAGUUCAGAAUUGAGAUGGCAAUAUUGAGCCUUCAUUGGUUUCUGCUCAUCUUUGUCACGGCUAAACUAGAAAAUAUGGUUGUACAUUUCUGUGCUCACUCGGUCCUAAUCUCGACCACCAGUCUCCCCUUUGUGUUUUCUAGUAUGUUUAGCUGUGUGCCAGACCAAAUUAAAUCGCACAUUCACUUCCCCCUCUAUAGGAUUGUACAAUAUUAUAUGCAUGAUGUAAAAUGUCAAUGGAAAGAAAAAGUCAGUUUUUCUCCCUUGACUAUUGAAGUGAUUUUUUUUGGAGCACAACCAUUUCAAAUUUCUGAAGGUAAUUCAAGCACUGAAGAUAAGUUGUUCCAUCCCUAUGAUGACGAAUAACAAACAAAGAAUAAAAAAACGCAAGGGAUUGAGCUAUGCUCAUGAAAGCUAUUCGUCAGCUAUCCGGUCAUCCAGCAGCAGAUAGAGGUGCUUCUUCUUGGGCGCAGGCAGCGACCUCUGGCCGGCCCCCGCCCUGUUGCUGUCCGUGAGACAUUGCUCGCUGCCUGUUCAAUCAAUCAAUCAAUCUGCAAGCCCUGAUAGGGUUCAGUUCUCGCUAUUCCAAGGUUGGGCGGGCAAUACAGAUGAGACAGGCUGACUGACUGACUGACGGCGAUUGUUUGUGGACGCGAGCGGGGACGAUGAUCCGGGGAACGGCUUGUCGGGGACGAGAACCGGGAUCUCUAAUCAGGCAAAUGCAGUUGAGAAUCGAUCCUCUGUAGCUACUACUAGUCGUGCGAAAUCCGAGACCGCAAGGGUACCUGGCAGUCGAAUCCGGGUUGCAGCACCCCUGUCCGGCGGCACGGAGGCGGGGAAGAGAUGGGGACGCCGCUCUUGCUCUUCUCUCGGGCAGGCAGGCGGGCCGGCGUCGCGUCUCCUCCCUCUCGUCGUCACAGCAUCGCGGCCGCCGCCGUCGC